rnacentral:misc_RNA from 1 species
UCCCAAGAAAAGGGCAGUCUCGCCUGACACUUGUAACAGACGAUAGGGGUUGCGUUCGUUACCCCACUUAAGGGAACAAUUCAAACCACGAACUGACGACGGCCAUGCAGCACCUGCCAUAGUGCCCGAAGGCCCAAUCUGUUUCCAGAAAGGUUCACUAUGGUUUCUAACCCUGGUAAGGUUCUUCGCUUAGCGACGAAUUAAGCCGCACGCUCCACCGCUUGUGCGAGUCCCCGUCUAUUCCUUUGAGUUUUAAGCUUGCGCUCGUACUACCCAGGCGGAUCGUUUAACGCGUUAGCUUCGCCUCGGAGAGGGUCGAUACUCCCCAAGGCUAACGAUCAACGUUUAGGGCAUGGACUA